UUUUGCAAUGAAAGACCCCCGAAGAGGGGAGACCCUCACUCAAGUCUCAGGAUGAUGUGACCUUGGAAGAACUCACGAGAGA
rnacentral:pre_miRNA from 7 species